GACGAACGCUGGCGGCGUGCUUAACACAUGCAAGUCGAGCGGAAAGGCCCUGCUUUUGUGGGGUGCUCGAGUGGCGAACGGGUGAGUAACACGUGAGUAACCUGCCCUUGACUUUGGGAUAACUUCAGGAAACUGGGGCUAAUACCGGAUAGGAGCUCCUGCUGCAUGGUGGGGGUUGGAAAGUUUCGGCGGUUGGGGAUGGACUCGCGGCUUAUCAGCUUGUUGGUGGGGUAGUGGCUUACCAAGGCUUUGACGGGUAGCCGGCCUGAGAGGGUGACCGGCUACAUUGGGACUGAGAUACGGCCCAGACUCCUACGGGAGGCAGCAGUGGGGAAUAUUGCACAAUGGGCGGAAGCCUGAUGCAGCAACGCCGCGUGCGGGAUGACGGCCUUCGGGUUGUAAACCGCUUUCGCCUGUGACGAAGCGUGAGUGACGGUAAUGGGUAAAGAAGCACCGGCUAACUACGUG
rnacentral:rRNA from 1 species